rnacentral:rRNA from 1 species
GGGUUGUGAGGUUAAGCGACUAAGCGUACACGGUGGAUGCCCUGGCAGUCAGAGGCGAUGAAGGACGUGCUAAUCUGCGAUAAGCGUCGGUAAGGUGAUAUGAACCGUUAUAACCGGCGAUUUCCGAAUGGGGAAACCCAGUGUGAUUCGUCACACUAUCAUUAACUGAAUCCAUAGGUUAAUGAGGCGAACCGGGGGAACUGAAACAUCUAAGUACCCCGAGGAAAAGAAAUCAACCGAGAUUCCCCCAGUAGCGGCGAGCGAACGGGGAGGAGCCCAGAGCCUGAAUCAGUGUGUGUGUUAGUGGAAGCGUCUGGAAAGGCGCGCGAUACAGGGUGACAGCCCCGUACACAAAAAUGCACAUGCUGUGAGCUCGAUGAGUAGGGCGGGACACGUGGUAUCCUGUCUGAAUAUGGGGGGACCAUCCUCCAAGGCUAAAUACUCCUGACUGACCGAUAGUGAACCAGUACCGUGAGGGAAAGGCGAAAAGAACCCCGGCGAGGGGAGUGAAAAAGAACCUGAAACCGUGUACGUACAAGCAGUGGGAGCACGCUUAGGCGUGUGACUGCGUACCUUUUGUAUAAUGGGUCAGCGACUUAUAUUCUGUAGCAAGGUUAACCGAAUAGGGGAGCCGAAGGGAAACCGAGUCUUAACUGGGCGUUAAGUUGCAGGGUAUAGACCCGAAACCCGGUGAUCUAGCCAUGGGCAGGUUGAAGGUUGGGUAACACUAACUGGAGGACCGAACCGACUAAUGUUGAAAAAUUAGCGGAUGACUUGUGGCUGGGGGUGAAAGGCCAAUCAAACCGGGAGAUAGCUGGUUCUCCCCGAAAGCUAUUUAGGUAGCGCCUCGUGAAUUCAUCUCCGGGGGUAGAGCACUGUUUCGGCAAGGGGGUCAUCCCGACUUACCAACCCGAUGCAAACUGCGAAUACCGGAGAAUGUUAUCACGGGAGACACACGGCGGGUGCUAACGUCCGUCGUGAAGAGGGAAACAACCCAGACCGCCAGCUAAGGUCCCAAAGUCAUGGUUAAGUGGGAAACGAUGUGGGAAGGCCCAGACAGCCAGGAUGUUGGCUUAGAAGCAGCCAUCAUUUAAAGAAAGCGUAAUAGCUCACUGGUCGAGUCGGCCUGCGCGGAAGAUGUAACGGGGCUAAACCAUGCACCGAAGCUGCGGCAGCGACGCUGAUGCGUUGUUGGGUAGGGGAGCGUUCUGUAAGCCUGUGAAGGUGUACUGUGAGGUAUGCUGGAGGUAUCAGAAGUGCGAAUGCUGACAUAAGUAACGAUAAAGCGGGUGAAAAGCCCGCUCGCCGGAAGACCAAGGGUUCCUGUCCAACGUUAAUCGGGGCAGGGUGAGUCGACCCCUAAGGCGAGGCCGAAAGGCGUAGUCGAUGGGAAACAGGUUAAUAUUCCUGUACUUGGUGUUACUGCGAAGGGGGGACGGAGAAGGCUAUGUUGGCC